AAGACAUAGCAUGUGCCCCUAAUUGUACACUCGCCACCCUUUCCAGGCCCAGUGGAGAGGACUGGAGGCAGGGAGGCAGUCCCUGCCUGCGACAAACCGACAGAGAUAAUGGGUCUUGUGCUGUCCUUGGGCACAGGACUGGGGCUUUGGGUGACAGAGCCUGAGUCAAGGCCAAGGGGCUCCCAGGCACUCUCUCCCUCUAGCCCAUCCCCUCCCCACCACAGUGGGGCUGCAUGGCCUCACCUUCUCUGCCUCCUCACGGCUCAUGGCUAGGGCCAGCUGCAGCUGCAGUUCCUCUUCCCCUGACGUCUGAGGCCGGGCCUGCUCCAGGUCGGAGGUAUAGCGGGGUGACGAAGAGGAGGCUGCAAUGACCAUCAUGUCUCUGUGACCACACGAUUACCCAUCGGCUCCCACACCCCUCUGCCUGCCAGGAAGCUGAGGCUCAAAGAAGAGAACUGAGAGGAGGGGAACAACGGCCGUUGAGGCCCCCGUGGGCCAAGCAGUGUGCCAGGCACUCUAUCAAACAAUGGAGGUAGGUGAGCUUAUCCCCACUGUACAGAUGAGGAAACUGAGGUUCAGAGAACUGGUUGCCCAGGUCACACAGCUUGGAGGAAGCAGAAUAUAGAAUGCUAUCUGACUCCAAACCCAUGCUUCCACUAUCGCGCCAUCCUAUCAGGCAGCUAACGAAUGAUAAUGAAUCUAUAACAACAUUAUUAUCUGA
rnacentral:sRNA from 1 species